ACAUGGAUGUCCCAUUUUCCUUGGAAGCUUUCCCAACUUCCCCAAACACCUUGUCAGCAUUUCUAUCAGUUCCUUUGUAUCCAGCCCAGGAAGAGUUAUUCUAAAACUUUUUAUUUUGGGAAGUUCUAAAUAUUUACUAAAAUCGAUACCCAUGGAACUAUCACCCAGGCUAACAGUGGUCAUCCUUGGCCGGGCUUGUUCCGUCUGUCUACUUCUCCCUCCUGUAAUGCUUUGAAGAAGAUUCCAGACAUCAUAUCAUUCAUCUAUAAAUAUUUUAGCACUUAUCUCUAAAAGUUUGCUUGAACCAGGAGCCAGAAUAUCUUACUAUUGGUUGAUAUCCUGAUGGCAAUGCCCACAUCUAAUUCAGGCAUCUGCUCAAAUAUUACCUCAUCGGAAAGACCCUU